rnacentral:sRNA from 1 species
AAAUAUGUAAAGUGGCUGAGAGUGCUGC